rnacentral:rRNA from 1 species
CCUUUAGGAGUGGAAACCCCGGGAACUGGGGCUAAUCCGCGAUAGGUAUGAAGGCCUGGAAUGGUUUCAUGCCUAAUGGCAAAGCAAUCAUGUUUGUUUUGUGCCUAAGGAUGGGGCUGCGGCCGAUCAGGCAGUUGGCGAGGUAACGGCUCACCAAACCUUUGACCGGUACGGGCCAUGAAAGUGGUAGCCCGGAGAUGGGCACUGAGACAGGGGCCCAGGCCCUACGGGGCGCAGCAGGCGCGAAAACUCCACACUGUACGCAAGUACGAUGGGGUUAUCUCGAGUGCAGUCCGAUAAGGGCUGCUUUUCCAUAGAGUAAUAUCCUGUGGGAAUAAGAGGGGGGCAAGACUGGUGUCAGCCGCCGCGGUAACACCAGCCCCUCGAGUGGUGGGGACUAUUAUUUGGCCUAAAGCGUCCGUAGCUGGCUGUAUCCGUCCCCCGUUAAAUCCAGCGUCCUAAACGUUGGACUGCGGGUGAUACCAUACAGCUAGAGGGUGGGAUAGGUGAGCGGUAUUUCUGGGGUAGGGGCGAAAUCCUUUGAUCCCAGGAGGACCACCAGUGGCAAAGGCUGCUCACUAGAACACGCCUGACGGUCAGGGACGAAAGCUGGGGCAGCGAACCGGAUUAGAUACCCGGGUAGUCCCAGCUGUAAACGAUGCUAGCUAGGUGUUGGGUCGGCCACGUGCCGCCCCAGUGCCGCAGGGAAGCCGUUAAGCUAGCCGCCUGGGGAGUACGGCCGCAAGGCUGAAACUUAAAGGAAUUGGCGGGGGAGCAC